rnacentral:sRNA from 1 species
AGUAAAUGAAGGCAUGUUAAUUACGCGACAUCCUGUCGCAACACAUGCAAUUGAACGUCCUGUGCU